CACUUCCUGUAUUGAUUCAGUUGUGACUGAAGACCACAAUCUCUCCCCCUAUCUCUUUCUCUCUGGCCCCUCUGUCAUCAAGAAUGUCUACUUCAGUGAACUAUUGUAAGGAGAAUUGACAAGAUCCUUUUGUUAAAAGAGUACUAGAUAAAAAAGAUGAUCAUAAUGAAAUUAUGGGACUGAUUUCCAAAGAUAUAGCUUCAAAA